UUAUGAAUGCCCAGUAACUGAAAAGUUUAACAGCCGCGGUAUCUUGACCGUGCGAAGGUAGCAUAAUUAUUUGUCUCCUAAAUAGAGACUGGCAUGAAUGGCAAGACGGGGCUCUACUGUCUCCUUAUCUCCCACCUGAAAUUCACAUCUUUGUGAAGAGGCAAAGAUAAAAUCGCUAGACGAGAAGACCCUAUCGAGCUUAAACUAAAGCAGAAGCUUAAAUUUCCCUCACCAUUCAUCUAAUCAAAUUCACUUAAUGAAGAACUGAGAAAUCGUUUUUUGUGGGAGUUUUAGUUGGGGCAACUGCGGAGAAGAAAAUCCUCCGCUAUCAUCUAAGCUUUUAGGAAAACUAUCCUAAAGCAAGAACAGCAAGUGAUCCACCCUGGUGAUCAAAGGAACAAGUUACCGUAGGGAUAACAGCGUAAUCUUUUUCGAGAGUUCAUAUUGACAAAAAGGUUUGCGACCUCGAUGUUGGAUCGGGACAUCCUAAUAGUGCAGAAGCUUUUAAGGGUUGGUCUGUUCGACCAUUAAAGUCCUACGUGAUCUGAGUUCAGACCGGA
rnacentral:rRNA from 1 species